UGGACAGGUUGGGUGAGUGGGCAGAUGCAGUUUAAUGUGGAUAAAUAUGAGAUUAUACACUUUGAUGGCGAAAACAGGACGUUAGAUUAUUAUCUAAACGGUGUCAAAUUGGGAAAAGGGGA